rnacentral:rRNA from 1 species
GACGAACGCUGGCGGCGUGCCUAAUACAUGCAAGUCGAGCGGAUUUUUGGGAGCUUGCUCCCGAAAAUUAGCGGCGGACGGGUGAGUAACACGUGGGCAACCUGCCUAUAAGACUGGGAUAACUUCGGGAAACCGGAGCUAAUACCGGAUAAUUCCUUUCCUCUCAUGAGGGAAGGCUGAAAGACGGUUUACGCUGUCACUUAUAGAUGGGCCCGCGGCGCAUUAGCUAGUUGGUGAGGUAACGGCUCACCAAGGCGACGAUGCGUAGCCGACCUGAGAGGGUGAUCGGCCACACUGGGACUGAGACACGGCCCAGACUCCUACGGGAGGCAGCAGUAGGGAAUCUUCCGCAAUGGACGAAAGUCUGACGGAGCAACGCCGCGUGAGUGAUGAAGGUUUUCGGAUCGUAAAACUCUGUUGUUAGGGAAGAACAAGUACGAGAGUAACUGCUCGUACCUUGACGGUACCUAACCAGUAAGCCACGGCUAACUACGUGCCAGCAGCCGCGGUAACAC